AGUCAGGCGGCCACGGACUUCGGUCUGGUGGCGAGUGGCGAUGAGCGAUGUCACAUCGGACAUACUGUGGCGGGGAUAGCAAGCGUAGCUAAUACCGCAUACGCCCUUCGGGGAAAGCGGGGACCUUCGGGCCUCACACGCUGUCAGUGAUUAUCGGUUGGCUAGUUGGUGGGAGGUAACGUGGCGCCCAGGCGACGAUCCGUAGCUGGUUUGAGAGAGGACGACCAUUGCCGCACCUGGACUGGGACGACUGAGCUCUACGGGAGGCAGCAGUGGGAAUUUUGGACAAUGGGGAAACCUGAUCCAGCCAUCCCGCGUGUGCGAUGAAGACCUUCGGGUUGUAAAGCACUGACGUGGAAAGAAACGGCACGGGAUGGUGAUACCCCGUGCAACUGAUACCUGCAGAAUAAGCACCGGCUAACUACGUGCCAGCAGCCGCGGUAAUACGUAGGGCUGGCGUAUUAAUCGGAAUUACUGGGCGUAAAGCGUGCGCAGGCGGUUCGGAAAGAAAGAUGUGAAAUCCUGGAAACGCUUUGGAACUGCAUUUUUAACUACCGAGCUAGAGUGUGUCAGAGGAGGGAGUGGAAUUCCGCGUGUAGCAGUGAAAUGCGUAGAUGUGGAAGGAUGCAAUGGCGAAAACAGCCUCCUGGGAUAACAUGACGCUCAUGCACGAAAGCGUGAGGAACAAACUAAGGAUUAGAUACCCUGGUAGUCCACGCCCUAAACGAUGUCAACUAGCUGUUGGGGCCUUCGGGCCUUGGUAGCUGGCUAACAGCGGGGAUUGUUACCUGGGAAUGAUCAUGAGAUUAAAACUCAAAGGAAUUGACGGGGACCCGCACAAGCGGUGGAUGAUGGAUUAAUUCGAUGCAACGCGAAAAACCUUACCUACCCUUGACAUGUCUGGAAUCCCGAAGAGAUUUUGCGGGUGCUCGCAAGAGAACCGGAACACAGGUGCUGCAUGGCUGUCGUCAGCUCGUGUCGUGAGAUGCUGGUUGGUCUUACAGCGGGCGCAGCCCUUGUCAUUAGUUGCUACGAAAGGGCACUCUAAUGAGACUGCCGGUGAUAUGAAGCCGGAGGAAGGUGGGGAUGACGUCAGUCCUCAUGGCCCUUAUGGGUAGGGCUUUACGUCAUGCAAUGGUCGGGACAGAGGAUUAGCCAACCCGCGAGGGGGAGCCAAUCCCAGAAACCCGAUCGUAGUCCACAGGAUCUAUGAUCCUGCAGACUCAGCCCGCGUGAGAUCCCGAAUCGCUAAACAUGUCGCGGGAUCAAACCAUAUGCGAUUGAAUACGUUCCCGGGUCUUGUACACACCGCCCGUCACACCAUGGGAGUGGGUUUUACCAGAAGUAGUUAGCCUAACCGUAAGGAGGGCGAUUACCACGGUAGGACUAAGCUGGGGUGAAGUCGUAACAAGGUAAU
rnacentral:rRNA from 1 species